rnacentral:rRNA from 1 species
CCUGAUCCAGCCAUGCCGCGUGAGUGAUGAAGGCCUUCGGGUUGUAAAGCUCUUUUACCCGGGAAGAUAAUGACUGUACCGGGAGAAUAAGCUCCGGCUAACUUCGUGCCAGCAGCCGCGGUAAUAA